AGAGAGUUGGAGUUGGUUUUGCUGUGAGGAGGUGCCCAGGAGAAAUCACUGGGAAGAUUUGCUUAUGCAUGUUCUGCCUGUCUCACUUGGAGCUAUGGGACACAAUGGUCACUGAUGUCCUACUUUUUCUGUGAACAUCACCUAAAGGACGCGGUGAGGAGAAGGACAUUUGACUGGCAAAACACCUUUCAGGUCCUCAGGCACCACUUCAGAUGGGAAAGUCUAAAGCAUCAGCAUGUCUGGGAAUGAAACUGGGACGGAGAAGAAAGAAAACCUGAAGUGUGGACAAAGGCUGUCUAAUUGCUUGUGUCCUGAGUCACUCCCAGUAACAUGGAUCAAGUGCCCUGACCUGAGCAAGAUGAACUUCUUGCGAUUGCAGUGGACUUCAAUGACUGCAGCCAGUGUGCUUCCCAGUCCCUGCUUCUGCAUUUGCAGAUUAUCCCUUUAGCCAUGCUUUUGGUAUGUGAAGCAACAGUACAUUCAUUAAUUCAGUCCUACUUAGCCUGUGCAGACUGAGUUAUCCAUGUAAAUGUGAUCUAGUAAGCUAUUCUCAGAUGCCUCAUAAAUUUUUAUGUUAAAUGACAGCAGCAAAUGGGAAGUGUUUGACACUUUUUUAGUUAUGAAGAAGGUGUGUGAUGCAGAACAUCAAUUUGCAUUUAAUUGAUGAUGAUUAAAAGAGGAAAUGAUCUCAAGUCGUGCUGGGGAGGUUUAGAUUGGAUAUGAAGAAAAAAUUCUUCACUGAAAGGGUUAUCAAGCAGUGGAACAGUCCGUCCACUUAAGUGGUUGAGUCACCAUCCAUGGACAUAUGUAAAAUAUGUAGAUGAGGCGCUUAGGGACAAGGUUUAGUGGUGGACUUGGCAGUGAUAGGUUGAUGGUUAGCCUUGAUGAUCUUAAAGCUUUGGGGUUUUUUGUGAUUCUUUAAGAAGAAAACCAGCUAAAAAGUAACUCCUUGUCCAUUGGGAAAAUACAUUUUAUUUCUGUUAAGUGAAAGUGUUCCCAUUAGAAAUAUUGUCAAGUUGUCUGUUUUUUGAAAGUAUUUAUUCUCUUACGCAUCCCGUGUAAAACAUCAUUUUGCUACUUUGUGAAAUAGAGUCAGACUUUCAAAAUUCAGGAUUGUUUAGAGUUGUAAAUAAUGCUCAUCCUAUCAAGUGCAAAAUAAUAAACCAUUACUGUUUCACAAUGCUGGAAGUAAAAACAAUCUUUGCUAUGUGUUACUAUCUUAAGUUUACAUUUAAAAAAAUUUAGAAAAGUAAUUGAAAACAUUUUGGGGAGUUUUUGAAGGGUUGGUGUUUGCUGCCUGUCUUUAUAUACCUCAAAUGUAUGAAAAGAAAUUGCUGUUGCUGCUUCUGUGGUACCAGAAAUUAAAUUCAAAGCUUGUUUACGCUGCUAACAGUUAUUAAUUUCAUAUGGAAGGUGGAACUCAGUGUUUUUAUCUGUAAUGAACUGGGAAGGCUCGUUAACUUCAAAACAUUGCUACAGUGGUUUAUCCCGUAUGAAUGAGAAUUUAUAGGCGCAAUACAUUAUACAAGCCUUGUGAUAAUUUUACAAAAACCCAGAAUAAACAGUAAUUUUGCUAUAAUUAACUUCACAGAAAAUUAACAUAUUUGUUUCUUACUUCAGUCUUCACAGAACUUACUUCCUUUUUACAAAGUUCAUAG